rnacentral:misc_RNA from 1 species
UCCGGUUUGGCACCGGCAGUCUCCCUAGAGUUCCCGGCUUUACCCGCUGGCAACUAAGGACAGGGGUUGCGCUCGUUGUGCCACUUAAGGCAACACCUCACGACACGAGCUGACGACAGCCAUGCAGCACCUGUCUCCGGUCCAGCCGAACUGAAGAGCUCCAUCUCUGGUGCUCGCGACCGGGAUGUCAAAGGCUGGUAAGGUUCUGCGCGUUGCUUCGAAUUGAACCACAUGCUCCACCGCUUGUGCGGGCCCCCGUCAAUUCCUUUGAGUUUUAAUCUUGCGACCGUACUCCCCAGGCGGGGUGCUUAAUGCGUUAGCUGCGCCACUGAAAAGCAAGCUUACCAACGGCUAGCAUCCAUCGUUUACGGCGUGGACUAC